rnacentral:tRNA from 1 species
UCCAGGGUAGCCUAGUGGACAUGGCAUCUGCCCGGUAAGCAGAAGACUGUGGGUUCGAUUCCCAUCCCUGGAC